AGUUGUGAAAGAGAGGAUAUUCGCCACGCAUGCUUCUGGUAACAUCAUCCUUCUUCACAAUUGAAGUGAUCUUCUCUCUUUUUCUCUCUUCUGUUUUAUGAAAUAUAUGUUUUGUUUUUUGGAGACGACAAACGUGACCGAUGAGCUAGUAGUUACUAUUUUGGACCGAAGGGCCGAAUCCUGAAAAUUAAUAUCAUUGCCUUCUUGGAAGACAAAAGGUUUGGUCAAUAAAAAAAAGACAAAAGAUAUAAAAGUUUGUUCUCUGAAAACAUAGUUUGUGUUCUGUAUUUGAGGUUUUUGGUUUAGAUCAUUAUGGAAAAUAUUCACCUUUAAGUUUUUUCCAAUGAAAAAUAUAUUUCUUUCUUACGGAAAAAGUUCUGACAGAUAUUAUUUGAAAUAUUCGUUUAGAUAAUGUAUAGUCUUACUUUUUUUUUGCCUAUGGUCAGGAGGUUAUCUUAGGCUCGUAGUUUCUACGUGCCAAAGACCAAAGCUGCCAGGUUAAUUAGUCUCUCUUCUCCGGCAACGAGACUGAAACCUUAGGCUUGAAGCGCAUUUUCCACUAGUAGAAUUAUUGAAACUCGGUUGAUGAUUUUUUGUGACAUGAACUCGAGUGCAUCAUUGGAGAUAAGAUCAUAAUAAUUUCAGUGACAUAAACUCGAGUGCAUCUCGACAAACAAGCUCACCGACCUACUAUUUUGUAGGACAUAAUAUAAUGAAAUAUAUGUAAACAAUGAAAACGUGUAUAUU
rnacentral:lncRNA from 1 species